UACGGAGGGUGCAAGCGUUAUCCGGAUUUACUGGGUUUAAAGGGUGUGUAGGCGGGCCUUUAAGUCUGGGGUGAAAUCUCCGAGCUCAACUCGGAAACUGCCCCGGAUACUAUCGGCCUUGAAUUAUGUUGAGGUCGGCGGAAUAUAACAUGUAGCGGUGAAAUGCAUAGAUAUGUUAUAGAACACCGAUUGCGAAGGCAGCUGACUAAGCAUAUAUUGACGCUGAGGCACGAAAGCGUGGGGAUCAAACAGG
rnacentral:rRNA from 1 species